AGGGAGAAGGCAAAGUUGAUCUUUUGGCCCAUCUAUGACCUCUUUGAGAAGUGAGCUCUGGACGACUGUAUUUUUCCAGAUUUCAAAAUCGUGCUCCAUUCAGCUACAUCCUUCUCUUCAGCUCUCUCUGGACUUAAUAAGGACACCUGACUUGUUUUAGCCCUACUGCAGCUCAAAGCUCCCAAUUCAGGAGAUCUAUCAGCCUCAGACUCUUCUAGUAUCCAGGAUUACUGCUGUGCACCAUCAUAUCCAGCUACUACUCCAAUUCUUGAAAAUAUCUUUUAAGUUACAAAGUGCAUUGUGGAUGAAAUGUGUACUCUAAUGAAAAUGUGUAUCCCUAAAGUAUUGAAGAAAUAAGUUUCAGUCCUUCAAGAAAGAAAGAAAAGAAGGAAAGAAGCAAGAAA